rnacentral:rRNA from 1 species
AACUUGAGAGUUUGAUCCUGGCUCAGAACGAACGCUGGCGGCAGGCUUAACACAUGCAAGUCGAGCGCCCCGCAAUACGAGCGGCAGACGGGUGAGUAACGCGUGGGAAUCUACCCAUCUCUACGGAACAACUCCGGGAAACUGGAGCUAAUACCGUAUACGUCCUUUUGGAGAAAGAUUUAUCGGAGAUGGAUGAGCCCGCGUUGGAUUAGCUAGUUGGUGGG